rnacentral:tRNA from 3 species
CCGCAGUAGCUCAGUGGUAGAGCUAUCGGCUGUUAACCGAUCGGUCGUAGGUUCGAGUCCUACCUGCGG